rnacentral:rRNA from 1 species
GAUGAACGCUGGCGGCGUGCCUAAUACAUGCAAGUCGAGCGAACGGACGAGAAGCUUGCUUUUCUGAUGUUAGCGGCGGACGGGUGAGUAACACGUGGAUAACCUACCUAUAAGACUGGGAUAACUUCGGGAAACCGGAGCUAAUACCGGAUAAUAUUUUGAACCGCAUGGUUCAAAAGUGAAAGACGGUCUUGCUGUCACUUAUAGAUGGAUCCGCGCUGCAUUAGCUAGUUGGUAAGGUAACGGCUUACCAAGGCAACGAUGCAUAGCCGACCUGAGAGGGUGAACGGCCACACUGGAACUGAGACACGGUCCAAACUCCUACGGGAGGCAGCAGUAGGGAAUCUUCCGCAAUGGGCGAAAGCCUGACGGAGCAACGCCGCGUGAGUGAUGAAGGUCUUCGGAUCGUAAAACUCUGUUAUUAGGGAAGAACAUAUGUGUAAGUAACUGUGCACAUCUUGACGGUACCUAAUCAGAAAGCCACGGCUAACUACGUG